GACGAACGCUGGCGGCGUGCUUAACACAUGCAAGUCGAACGGAAAGGCCCUGCUUUUGUGGGGUGCUCGAGUGGCGAACGGGUGAGUAACACGUGAGUAACCUGCCCUUGACUUUGGGAUAACUUCAGGAAACUGGGGCUAAUACCGGAUAGGAGCUCCUGCUGCAUGGUGGGGGUUGGAAAGUUUCGGCGGUUGGGGAUGGACUCGCGGCUUAUCGGCUUGUUGGUGGGGUAGUGGCUUACCAAGGCUUUGACGGGUAGCCGGCCUGAGAGGGUGACCGGCCACAUUGGGACUGAGAUACGGCCCAGACUCCUACGGGAGGCAGCAGUGGGGAAUAUUGCACAAUGGGCGGAAGCCUGAUGCAGCAACGCCGCGUGCGGGAUGACGGCCUUCGGGUUGUAAACCGCUUUCGCCUGUGACGAAGCGUGAGUGACGGUAAUGGGUAAAGAAGCACCGGCUAACUACGUA
rnacentral:rRNA from 1 species